rnacentral:lncRNA from 1 species
UCUUCUCUUUUUUCUUCUAUUUAUUUUUUUCUCUGCUUUUUCCUUCACUUGAGCUUCCUUUCUUGCAGAGUUCAGGACUAUGAUGCUGAUUGCCUUCCUGACACAUCCAUACUACACUGAUCAUAAAGAGCAAGAGGCUGACAGACAAUGUCAAACAGCUUUCCAUGGGAACUUGGAUUCUGUAAGUACAGUUUGAUCUCUGCAAUGGCUCAGAACCACUCAGAUGCACAUUGUGUACUGGUGCCAGAAGUUUGUCUCCAGGCUACUAGGAGAGAUAUUUAAGGUACUGUGAUGUUUAAACAGAGAAAAAAAAAAUAUGUCUUUUAUUAAUCAUAUUUGCACAACUGAUCAGGAAAAUACAUUUCUUAUGUUUUCAGAAUUAAUUUUGUGGAGCAAAGUGAAGUCAGAUUAACCUAUAGACCUAAGGAAAACUAUGGCUUCUUUGUUUCAGGCUGGAGAAAGGCCAAAUCACAUUAUAGCAUACUUUACUGGUAAGGUUAUAUCUUAGGAAAGCCCCAACAGGCUUUGAGAGGGAACCAGUAUCUAACAGAGUUAACGGCUGGACAUUCAGCUCUAUCUUGUACUAGUUCCAGAUUCUUACAUUAUAUACCACACAGCUAUCAGUUUUACUGUCACUGGGAUUUCAGACAGAUGCAUAUAUCACACAGACACUGGUAAUACUUUUGAUGAAUGAAUGGGCCUUUUUUUUUUUUUUUUCUUUUUCCUAGACAGUCCAUGUAUACAGAUGUGGAGAACAUAUUCUAGAAGAUAUCCUGAUUUAGCGGGUUCUGAAGAACCCAAUGUGUUCAACCACCUUCUGAAAAUGAAGAAAAAAAUCCCACAUUUUCUACAGAGGAAUAAUUUUAGUUUACUCCGUGUUUUAAAGGAAGGAAUGAGAUAUUGCACUGUGAAGAACACUCCAAAAAAGACUUUUGCACUUAAUGCAACCAAGCACCAUCAUUCAGCUCUUUCAGUCCUUUUCAGUCAGUGUCACAGUAUGUAAAGAGAAACAGACAUGUAAUUAAAACACCUUCAUUUUUUAUUGAUGCUAAAGACAGAAGGAAAGGAGAGAGUGGUCUGGGAAUCUGGCUGCUACACUCCACAGUUAGUAAGAGCACUUUACCUUUUGUAAAGCAGCCUGGUCCCUGGAGCUUGAAGGAUUUCACACCUGCACAGAUCGUGACACAAGACUCAUCAUUUUCCAGUCUUUUCUUUUACAGCUAAGCUGGAAGCAUGAUCCUUGCAAGAUGCUCUCAGAAUUGAUUUGCCUUGUGUCAAUUAUUUUGAAGCAAGGAGGCCACGUGAAGGAAGGGAGGACAGCUCAUGCUGUCCCCAGAAGAAAGACUGAAGUAAUUUUCAAAUUAUGCAACUGUGUCUGGUGAUGACGCUAAUGAGUUCCUUAAAAAUGCAAAUAGCAGCUCAGGUAGUGAUUAACUUGUGUUAUUGACAGACUAAUCUUGAGUUCAAAAAUAUAGCAUGCUCUGACUUAGGCUCUCACAUCUUUUCGUAACAUAUGUUUUGAAGUUUCAAGGUAAUAAGGGAAGAUGAGAUUGUGAUUAAAAAAGGUUUCUCUGGUUGGAAACAGAGACAGCCUUCCAUGUUUUCUAAAUGUGACUGUGAUUAUGGGCAUAAGGUAAGAAAGGCUUUAAAACCUUUAAGUUUCUAGGCAGUCUUAUAGUUUUCUUGUUUAUCAAAUAUUGCCAAUGAAAAAAUGACAUUGAAAAGUGAAGUCUGCUAUUGUCAAGCCUACAACAUCUACUCUAUUUGCUGUCAGAUUGCAUUGUAUGUAUUGUGCAUCCUUUAACAGCACUUAGACAUGCUGACACAAAAUACAAAGAUGAUCCAAUUACGUUUUCUGCAACUACAUCUCAUUUUGCUAAUUCCUACAAAUUAAGGGUGUCUAUCACCCCUUACAUGAGACAGAACACAGAUAACAUUUAAAAUCUCAUGGAUUUUAUAGUGUACACCACUUAAAUACAGGAACAGUCCUAAUCAUAAACAGUUGACAUGUAGCUCAUAAACUGUCUAGCCAAUAUGAAAAUGCAACCAUGUAGUGCAUACAGAAAUGAUUCCUCCUUAUUGUUAUUUAUUAGUGGUAGUAUUAUUUAUUUGUUGCCAUUUGUGUUUGGUAAUUUAUUUACCAUAGGCAGUUUAAAUGUACAACAUCAGUGCUGAUCUACUUACAGAGUGAUCAGUGUGUAUAUAUAUAUAUAUAUAUAUAUAUAUAUAUAUAUAUAUAUGUAUGUAUUUUUUCUUUUUUUCCAGACUGACUUGCCAUAGGUAGAAAAACCUAAAAAAUCUAAUGAACCUUUUCAGGAGUCAGAUUAUUGAAGAACACUCUUCUGGAAGGAUGCUAUUUGUUACUAUCUAACAGAUUUGUAUGAAAUAUGAAAACCACAGAGAUUAAAAAAAAAAAAAAAAAAAAAGACUCAUUUGUACUUUGCCAAUAGUCACUGAGUAGGAUGGCAAAAUCUAACACCAUAAGCAGUGUUUCAUUAGCCGCAGAACUGCAGUUGAAAGAUGUGUGCUCCAAUGGGUCACAUGAUGUGGGAUUUCAUUGAAACAUCUUUACUCUAGGGAAAAAGUAAGAUAUGAGGGAUUCCUGAGGAAAAAAAAAAGUGCAUUUGCUCCCAUCUUGUACCUUAUUGCUGGACAUUGUCUGCUAGUUUUCUGGGGGGUUAUCAUGCUCAUUCCCCCUCAUGGCUAUCACACACUGAGUUGGCAGAGUAUUUGCUUUGCCAUUGUCACCGGGACUGAGACACCUAAUGUGAGAGACACCUCUUCUCAGCAUGUUGGGCACAUUCCUUCCUCAUCUAUCCUCUCCAAGCAGCUUCUUCCAUUAAUAGGCAAUGGUUGCAGACGGACAGUCCCGAACUUUCCUAUGUUGCUGCUGCCCUCCCAGAAGGCCUUCUGAGGAGGAAUAGAAGGAAGGGUGAGGAGAAAUGUCCCAAUGUGCCUUUUGCACAAUGGUGAGGCUAAGAGUUUUGAGAGCCUCUGGAACUUUGUUUGAUUUUAAAAUAUCAGUUACUUUGAUAUUUUCAGCUUAAUUUAAGAAUUUUGCACCAAAUGCUGGGAGGUUUCAGGAGUGACACACUGGGAGAGUUUGUUCCAUUUGUUCCUUUUUUGUGUGUGUGUGGUUGGUUUUUUUUUGUUUUUGUUUUGUUUUGUUUUGUUUUGUUUUGUUUCCAUAAGAGUCAUGGAGAUGAUAGGUUUAAUUUUUUAGCUGAACAGUUAUUUAUGUUUCUUCUGUGAUUUCCAUGGGAAGAAUACAUCUCUCUAUUUCACUCGCCUUUGAAGAGGAAUCUGAAUUACCUCAGUGUCAAACAGCUCAACUGUUUUACUUUUUUUUUGUUGUUUUCAUCUUUAUUUUUAUUGCCAUUAACACGGUUACAUAUGGGUAACCGUAUGGUGGGAUACAAGAAUCAGAUGGCUGGCCAGAAGUCUGGCAUCUGCAGAAAUUAGUUUAUUAGGCCAGGUUUCCAAAUGGGAAACUGAAUCUUUAGCAAAUGAGUAAUUAUGGAACACAUGAAAGUCAGAGUUGGAUAAAAUAACCCAGUGUUCCUCUGCUCCAAAGAGCACCCUAAACUCACCUGGACAUUUUGAGAGGUAACAUAUCAGCCUCAGCUCCAGCACCAGGAAUCUGCUGCAUGAAAAUAGCUGGAUCUGUGAAAACGAGUAUUAAAAACAUUAUAGCAAAGUUGACUUCUUGGUGACACUUCAAUGCCAUAGAAUCUUAGUCAUAAAAAGUAGCCCCAAGAGGCAUCAACCCAGUAAUAAAGACAUUGUUAUAAUAAACA